UACAGAGACUGCAAGCGUAUUCGGAUUCACUGGGCGUAAAGGGUGCGCAGGUGGCCGUGCGUGUGAGGCGUGAAAGCCCGGGGCUCAACUCCGGAACUGCCUUUGAUACUGAGAGACUUGAGUCCGGGAAGAGGUGAAGUGGAACUGCGAGUGUAGAGGUGAAAUUCGUAGAUAUUCGCAAGAACACCAGUGGCGAAGGCGGCUACUGGUCCGGGCUUCUGACGCUGAGGCGCGAAAGCGUGGGGAGCAAACAGG
rnacentral:rRNA from 1 species